UGUAAUGAUCAGAGUGAAGUCUCUUCAGAUGAGAAUAAUGAUUUUGAUUAUGAAUUGCCCCGUAUUUUCGAAGGCGAUGAAAGAUUUGGUGAAGAGGUAUGUGAAUCCAUCUCUAAAGUCUGUGACAAUAUUUGUAAAAAGAAAACAGAUGUUUCGUCAAUGGUCAAUGAACUGAAGGUGCCCUCAAAUUGCAAGAGCCUUGUUGUGCCGCCAGUUAACCCAGAAAUAUGGCAAUUUUUAGACCGCAAGACAAAAUCAUCUGAUUUAGGUCUCCAGAAUCUUCAGAGACUUCUUGCAUACGGGAUGAUCCCUGUGAUAACUCUGGCAGGUAUUCUGAAAACUAAAAAACCUGACAUAAAGUUGAUGAGAGAAGCUGUGUCUAAAGCUAUGACUGUUCUUUGCAAUACUCAUUUUGAGUUGUCGGUUAAAAGGAAGCUAAUGCUCAAACCAUACAUAGACAGAAAAUUCCACCAGUUGUGUAACAAGAAUGAAGAAAUUGGUACCAAUCUUUUUGGUGAUGAAAUUGGAAAGAAGUUAAAUCAAAUAAAUGAAGUGAAUAAGAUAAACAAAAACAUCUCAGGGAGAAGUUAUAGUUACAGAGGUGGCAGAGGCCGAUACCCUUACAAUCAGUCACAAGGUCGUUUUUUAGGGAGACGAGGAUACUCCAGAGGACAUGGAAAUCAAAGGGUUCCAUACUCAAACAGAGGCCAAGGAAGAGGCUACGGCCAGAAAAAAUUCAACAAGUAUUAAAGUCAGAUCAGCAAGGUGUUGAUGAAGAUCGAAGACGAUCAGUCUGACAGUACAGGUUGACAGGAACUGGAGGAACCAGAUACAGUCGUCAGAUAUUCUAUCAGCUUAUUUACAUGUAGAUUACAAAACAUGUAUGGAAUUUUUAUUGGAAGUAUUGUUGAUGUUUGAGAUACCGUUGGAUAUGAUGGUUUGAGGAACUAAUAGACUUUAAACAGAUGGAUAUUCUAGUAAUGUGUUGAUGAGGAACUUGAACAUUUAUCCGUUAAUGAUUAUACUGUGUUUGUGGAAUAGCGAUAGAACUGAACAUUUUGAUAGUUAGAACUUCAUAGUAUUUUAUGCAAUUUUGUUGUAUAAUUGUGGGAUAUUAAAAUAUUUAAAAAACA